rnacentral:rRNA from 1 species
UCCAGGGCCAAACCACCCUGAACACAUUCGAUCUUGCUAGAUCUUGGGAGCUAAGCAGAGUUGGGCCUGGUUAGUACUUGGCUGGGAGAGGAGACCACAAGCAGGUACUGCUGAAA